CUGGCCUGCUCUGACAACUGUCACCAGCUUUCCUUCGGAAGUCCAACCAAUUUCCCAGGUCCAUGGUCCCAGUGCCGUUCCCGGUGUGUGUGUGGUGGGGGGGGGGGAGGCACAAUACGGGGGAGCUCUCUCCACUGCCAGGCAGGUACAGAACUGUCCCCCACUCCUCGGCAGGCCAGCUGCCCUGCUGGGGCCAGGAGUCUCCUGUAAGGCCCCCUCCCCCAGGUCCCCACACACAGGGGCAGGUCUGGGAGGGCGCAGAGAGGGAGCAGGGAGGGAUGAGAUUCCUUUUGAAUUUUAUUUAAUUGUGUGUAUGAUUCACAGGAGGGGGACUCAGCACUCACACAGUGAUUCCCAUACAAGUUCUGGGGUUCUUGCCCACCCUGCACAUGUUUGGCCACCUGGGGAGAGAGAGAUUUUGAGAGACCGUUUCCAGUAGCUCCAGCCACCGCAUGGACCGGGGGCACGUAUAUCAGAUGUCAUCUGCCACAAGAGCCGACAGAUGUCGGCUGGCCCCGAGCGCAUCUCACACCUGAGGCCAGAGCUCCCAGAGCAGAAGGAAUAGGCAAGCAGGGAAAGGCGCACGUUGGAUUGCAUGGCUCCAGCCCGUGUGGUCAGCCCCCAGCCAGGAUCAGCCGUGAGGGUUUGGCCCUGGGAGGUAGCUGGGAAAACCCAGGAGCCCCUGGGAUGAUCGACAGGCGGAGUUUGGACCUUGGAAAGGUCAGGGAGCCCCUGGGCCCCUGCAUGCAGCCCCAGCCUGAGGGAGCACCCAGCCCCGGGACCAGGAGCAUGACCCACGGAGACUCUGCACCUCUUCUGUGCAAGGCUUUUCCUUCGCUUCUCACUGGCUCGCCUUAUUCGUGCCUAAAAGGGCCGUGGGACUGUCAAGAGCAGGUGCGUGGGGUGCAGUCCCAGCUCUGCCCCGCUGGCCACCUGAGGGGAGCAAGGGACCCACUGCUCCCCAGCCUCGGGGUGAAGAUGGAGGCCAGAACAUGUGUCAGCACAUGCUCCAGGCUCCUGUCACCUCCACCCCACCCCAGACCAAGGCCACACCCCUGAGCUCUCAAGCACCGGCCCCUGCCUGCCCCCUGCCAGGCUGCCUCCCGCUGUACACUUGCCAUGUCAUGUGUCCCCAGGCUGGUCCUGGUAGCAGAGAUGAAGCAAGCUCUUACCCGUAAAUGUCCUCUGUAGGCCUCUGAGUCAUCAAGCUUGAAACUUUGUCUUGGAAUUUGCUCUGUUGUCCCCAGUUGAGUGUGUCAAGCAGGGCUUCUCAAGGCCAGGGUCGGGGGCGGCUGUGGAACGUCACUUCCCUGGGAACGCUCCUGAGUUCAGCUGGCUCACACAUGGAUCAGAUUUGCGCCCACCAUCCUCUGCCAGGGAAAAUAGAAACCAUAAAAAAAAAACUAGAAAGGAAUAGAAAGAAGCUUUUCCUCAGCCACAUGGAUGCUGGAAGAGGAGCCACCACAGUGUUCCCGGAGAACAGGAGCCUGAGCCCGUGUCCCCCAGGAGAAGUCUCCCCGCAGAAGCUACAGAAGCAUCAAGAACCUGGGCUGGGUAAAAGAGUUGGCUUUCUGUUCCAAGCAUCCUGAAGAUUUUAUUUAUUUAUUCGUGAGAGACAUAGAGAGGGAGACGCAGAGACACAGGCAG